rnacentral:rRNA from 1 species
CCUAAUACAUGCAAGUCGAGCGGACAGAUGGGAGCUUGCUCCCUGAUGUUAGCGGCGGACGGGUGAGUAACACGUGGGUAACCUGCCUGUAAGACUGGGAUAACUCCGGGAAACCGGGGCUAAUACCGGAUGGUUGUUUGAACCGCAUGGUUCAGACAUAAAAGGUGGCUUCGGCUACCACUUACAGAUGGACCCGCGGCGCAUUAGCUAGUUGGUGAGGUAACGGCUCACCAAGGCAACGAUGCGUAGCCGACCUGAGAGGGUGAUCGGCCACACUGGGACUGAGACACGGCCCAGACUCCUACGGGAGGCAGCAGUAGGGAAUCUUCCGCAAUGGACGAAACUCUGACGGAGCACGCCGCGUGAGUGAUGAAGGUUUUCGGAUCGUAAAGCUCUGUUGUUAGGGAAGAACAAGUACCGUUCGAAUAGGGCGGUACCUUGACGGUACCUAACCAGAAAGCCACGGCUAACUACGUGCCAGCAGCCGCGGUAAUACGUAGGUGGCAAGCGUUGUCCGGAAUUAUUGGGCGUAAAGGGCUCGCAGGCGGUUUCUUAAGUCUGAUGUGAAAGCCCCCGGCUCAACCGGGGAGGGUCAUUGGAAACUGGGGAACUUGAGUGCAGAAGAGGAGAGUGGAAUUCCACGUGUAGCGGUGAAAUGCG